GUGUAGAAUCUUGUGACUCUUGGCAAGUUUAAGAGCAGAGGUGGCUCAGGCAGUGCAGGUCCCUCAAGCCGGUCCCUGUGCUGGCCUCUGACUUUUGAGGGUAGGGCUUCCGUCUUGCUCACUAAACUGUUGGAGCCAGAAUACCGAGUGACACCCUCAGCGACACCCUCGAGGGACCCUACUCCGCUUGGCAUAUGUGUUCAGUUCUGUGAUGCCUAUCGGUUGAAGGAAGUGCUGGGUCUUGGUGAAGGAAGAGGCCAAACCUGAUACCAGGGGAGUGUCUAGCUAGCCUGGAGUUGCCUAAGCCCUUGAGAGGCUCUGGCUCAGCUAACCUCCUUUGGAGUCACCUUUAAGGUGAUAAAAGCAAGGCAAGGCAGGGAGCAGGACCUCAUCUAAAAUGACUGCACUGGGAGCUGUCAGACCACAGCCCUAGCUAUGUCUGUUGUCUUAGCCAGAUAGGCCACAGCCACUUCCCCUUGAAGUCAGCAACUGGAUGCUUCCUGCAAACCUGAGGUAAGGGAUAAGGGAGUUAUCUAGAUCACAGUGGAAACAUUGGCUUCUCCAAAUAGUGAGGCACCAAGGCGUUAUGGAUUUGUAAAAGACCGUGUGGUACCUUCAACAAGGGAGACUGAGUCUCCACGGUCACAUGCAUCACUUCACCCAGGCCCAGCAAUGCUGUGCGGUGUUGUAUCUUGACACUCUGAGACCACCAAAGGCUUUGUGGAGUAUGUGGG
rnacentral:lncRNA from 1 species